CUUGAUUAAACCAUAAGAGGUCCAGCCUGCCCAGUGACAUUGUUCAACGGCCGCGGUAUCCUAACCGUGCGAAGGUAGCGUAAUCACUUGUCCUUUAAAUGAAGACUAGUAUGAAUGGCCCCACGAAAGCUAUACUGUCUCCUUUUUCUAAUCAGUUAAACUAAUCUCCCCGUGAAGAAGCGGGGAUAAACAUAUAAGACGAGAAGACCCUAUGGAGCUUCAAACAACUGAAACACUUGUAUAUCCUCCCCCCACCUACCAACAUUUAACCUCACAUUUUGUUUCUAGUUUUAGGUUGGGGUGACCACGGAGAAAAAACUAACCUCCACGACGAAAGAGACAUCUCUAAACAAAAAGCUACAUCUUUAUGUAUUAACACAUUAACCUUUAUUGACCCA
rnacentral:rRNA from 1 species